UUUUUUUUGUCUUAAUUUAAUUGAAGAAUGGAGCUGGUGGUGGUGAAGAGGACGACGGAGAUGGCAGAGCAACGGGUUUUCUCAACCACCAGAAUCUGAAAACUUUUUCUAUGCACAACCUCGACGAAAAACUUGUACCUAGAUUUUGAGAUUUGAUU
rnacentral:sRNA from 1 species